GAGGGGCUGGGCUGGUGUCUGAUUUCUGUCUUUCUUCCUGGCUUUCCUGUUGAAUUUUUUUUCUAUAUGUUGGGUUUUUUUCUCUUCCAUUACCCCUCUGCAAAGAAGGCCCCAUUUCCCUGGAUCUGUCAGAAAGUAUGGCUGCUCCUUGCUGCAGGCAGGAUGGUGACAGUGGGAGACUGGAGAAGGCUGAUCCAUCACUGGAAGGAAUCAAGGAAUGAAUUAGGAACCCUCAUGUGCCAGGACAUGGUGGCAGAAGUGACACUGUGAUGGGCAGUGCUGUCACCUGUACCUCCCUCUCUCCAUGGAUCCAGGGAUGAGGCUAUUACAGAGAUGCACAGAAACACUUUCCCAUUAAUUUUCAAGUUGGAGAUGCCAUGCCACAUGGCAUGUGAGCAGAACAUGGCAUCCCUGACCCUUGGCUGGCACUCACUGUGCUCUCAGCAAAGAAGCUGCAAAUAUCAGGGAACUGGGAUAAUUUUCUCAGCAUCUUUCCAUUGGUGUUUCUGUUUUGUGCUUAUUUAUGCUCUGGGGGGAAAAAAGCCUACAAAAUGGGAAUCUAUUUUUAUCUAUCAGCUCUUAAAAUUGUGAAACCUGCUGCUAAAAUCUCUCCCAGUUUUACUGUCUAAAGCACUCUAUUGAUGACUGUAGAAAUUACAAUUAUUUUUUCAUAAUUUCUACUGGUAAACUGCCCAAACCUGUGUUUCAAUAGGCCAGACAA